CACUGGGCUGGGCAUCGCGGCCUGAAGUGCCCGGGAUGGCGAGCCCGCCGCUGCACGGGCCCCCGGCGCCGGCGGGCGGCGAUGGCCCCAACCUCAACAACAACAACAACAACAACAACCACAGCGUGCGCAAGUGCGGCUACCUGCGCAAGCAGAAGCACGGUCACAAGCGCUUUUUCGUGCUGCGCGGGCCCGGCGCGAGCAGCGACGAGGCGACAGCGGGCGGGGGUCCGGCGCCACAGCCUCCGCGGCUCGAGUACUAUGAGAGCGAGAAGAAGUGGCGGAGCAAGGCGGGCGCCCCGAAGCGGGUCAUCUCGCUGGACUGCUGCCUGAACAUCAACAAGCGCGCGGACGCCAAGCACAAGUACCUGAUCGCCCUCUACACCAAGGACGAGUACUUCGCCGUGGCCGCCGAGAACGAGCAGGAGCAGGAGGGCUGGUACCGCGCGCUCACCGACCUGGUCAGUGAGGGCCGCGCGGGUGCCGGCGACUCGGCCCCCACCGCGACCCACGCCGGGUCCUGCAGCGCCUCCUUGCCCGGCACCCUGGGCGGCUCUGCCGGCUCCGAUGACAGCUACGGGCUGGUGGCGCCCGCCACGGCCGCCUACCGCGAGGUGUGGCAGGUGAACCUGAAGCCCAAGGGCCUGGGCCAGAGCAAGAACCUGACAGGCGUGUACCGCCUGUGCCUGUCUGCGCGCACCAUCGGCUUCGUGAAGCUGAACUGCGAGCAGCCGUCGGUGACGCUGCAGCUCAUGAACAUCCGCCGCUGCGGCCACUCCGACAGCUUCUUCUUCAUCGAGGUGGGCCGCUCGGCUGUCACCGGCCCCGGCGAACUGUGGAUGCAGGCUGACGACUCCGUGGUGGCCCAGAACAUCCAUGAGACCAUCCUGGAGGCCAUGAAGGCGCUCAAGGAGCUCUUUGAGUUCCGGCCGCGCAGCAAGAGCCAGUCGUCUGGCUCCUCUGCCACUCACCCCAUCAGCGUCCCCGGCGCGCGCCGCCACCACCACCUGGUUAACCUGCCUCCCAGCCAGACGGGCCUGGUGCGCCGCACGCGCACCGACAGCCUGGCUGCCACCCCGCCGGCCACCAAGUGCAACUCAUGCCGGGUGCGCACGGCCAGCGAGGGCGACGGCGGCGCGGCGGCCGGGACCGGGGCGGCGGGCGGCAGGCCGGUGUCGGUGGCCGGGAGCCCCUUGAGCCCGGGGCCGGUGCGUACACCUCUGAGCCGCUCACACACCCUGAGCGCCGGCUGCGGCAACCGCGCGAGCAAGGUGACGCUGGCGCCGGCAGGGGGCGCCCUGCAACACAGCCGCUCCAUGUCUAUGCCCGUGGCGCACUCGCCCCCAGCAGCCACCAGCCCAGGCAGCCUGUCGUCCAGCAGCGGGCAUGGUUCGGGCUCCUACCCGCUGCCUCCAGGCCCGCACCCGCACCUGCAGCAUCCCCUGCACCACCACGCGGGCCAGCGGCCCUCCAGCGGCAGCGCUUCAGCCUCUGGCUCCCCCAGCGAUCCCGGCUUCAUGUCCCUGGAUGAGUACGGCUCCAGCCCUGGGGACUUGAGAGCCUUCUGCAGCCACAGGAGCAACACGCCUGAGUCCAUCGCCGAGACACCCCCUGCCAAGGAUGGGAGUGGGAGCGAGCUAUACGGGUACAUGACCAUGGACAGGCCUCUGAGCCACUGUGGCCGCCCCUACCGUCGAGUCUCAGGGGAUGGAGCCCAGGACUUGGACAGAGGGUUGAGGAAGAGGACUUACUCCCUGACCACACCUGCCCGGCAGCGGGCGGUGCCCCAGCCCUCCUCUGCGUCCCUGGAUGAAUACACCCUGAUGAGGGCCACCUUUUCUGGCAGCUCUGGCCGCCUCUGCCCAUCCUGCCCCACCUCUUCUCCCAGAGUGGCCUAUCACCCUUAUCCGGAGGACUAUGGUGACAUUGAGAUUGGGUCCCAUAGGAGCUCCAGCAGCAACCUGGGCACGGAUGAUGGUUACAUGCCCAUGACCCCUGGAGCGGCCCUCAUGGGUGGUGGCAGUGGCAGCUGCAAGAGUGACGACUACAUGCCCAUGAGCCCCACCAGCGUGUCUGCCCCGAAGCAGAUCCUGCACCCACGGGUUGCUGCUGCAGCUCUGCCCCCCACCGGCCCUGCCGCGCCGGCACCCACCAAUGUGGCCGGCAGGGCCUUUCCGGUGAACAGGGCCAGCUACAAGGCUAGCUCCCCGGCGGAAAGCUCUCCUGAGGACAGUGGCUACAUGCGCAUGUGGUGUGGCUCCAAGCUGCCUACGGAGAGCACCGACAGCAAGCAGCUUCCCAACGGGGACUACCUCAACAUGUCCCCCAGCGACGCGGGCACCGCGGGAACCCCACCCGACUUCUUCACCGCAGCCUUGCACGGCGCUGGAGAGAUGCUCAGGAGCGUCCCUGGCUACUGCUACAGCUCCUUACCCCGCUCCUACAAGGCUCCCUACACCUGCAAUGGGGACAACGACCAGUACGUGCUCAUGAGCUCCCCCGUGGGGCGCAUUCUGGAAGAGGAGAGGCUGGAGCCUCAGGCCAGCGUGGGGACCACGCAACCGGCCAGCAGCGUGGUGGCUGGGGUCGGUGGGGGCAGCCACGCUCAGCCUCCUCACUCCGUAGUGCCUUCUGCAGGGAGGCAGAGUGGCAGUGGCAGUGGCCGCCCCGAGGGCUUCCUGAACCAGCGCUGCCGGGCAGUGAGGCCCACGCGCCUGUCCCUGGAGGGGCUUCAGACCCUGCCCAGCAUGCACGAGUGCCCCCUACCGCCCGAGCCCAAGAGCCCGGGCGAGUACAUCAAUAUUGACUUUGGCGAGGCUGGAGCGCGCUUGUCGCCCCCGGCCCCUCCGAUGAUGCUGGCUUCGGCGGCCUCGUCGUCCUCGCUGCUGUCUGCCAGCAGCCCAGCCUCGUCCCUGGGCUCUGGCACCCCGGGCACGAGCAGUGACAGCCGGCAGCGCUCCCCGCUCUCUGACUACAUGAACCUGGACUUCAAUUCCCCCAAGUCACCCAAGGCUGAGACCCAGAGCGGGGACCCAGUGGGCUCCUUGGAUGGUCUCCUGUCCCCUGAGGCCUCCUCCGGGUACCCGCCACUGCCCCCGCGCCCUGCCGCCCCCUCCUCCAGUUCGCAGCUGCAGCCACCUCCGCCACCCCCUCCAGGGGAGCUGUACCGCCUGCCUCCUGCACCCACAUCCCAGGGCCCCAGUGCUGCCUCCUCUUCGCCCUCGGAGACAGGGGACAAUGGUGACUACACCGAGAUGGCCUUCGGCGUGGCUGCCACCCCGCCGCAACCCAUCGUGGCCCCCCCAAAGCCAGAUGGUGCCCGCGUGACCAGCCCCACGUCCGGCAUGAAGAGGCUGAGUCUCAUGGAUCACGUGUCGGGGGUCGAGGCCUUCCUGCAGGCUGGCCAGCCCCCAGACCCCCACCGGGGGGCCAAGGUCAUCCGUGCAGACCCACAGGGGGGCCGCCGCCGCCACAGCUCGGAGACCUUCUCCUCAACCACCACUGUGACUCCCGUGUCGCCGUCCUUUGCUCACAACCCGAAGCGCCACAACUCGGCCUCCGUGGAAAAUGUCUCUCUCAGGAAAAGCAGUGAAGGGAGUGGCAGCGUCGUCCUCGGUGCGGGUGACGAGCCCCCUGCGUCCCCUCGCCAGCCGCAGCCACCCCUCCCCCAGCAGGCGCGGCCAUGGACACCAAGUCAGCCUGGGGGCCUGGUUGGCUGCCCCGGGGGCAGUGGCUCUCCCAUGCGCAGGGAGACCUCAGCUGGCUUCCAGAAUGGUCUCAACUACAUUGCCAUCGAUGUCAGGGAUGAGCCGGGGCUACUGCCAUCUCCACAGCAGCACCCACACCUGCAUCCGCAUCCGCAGCCAGGCGACAAGAGUGCCUGGGGCCGGACCCGUAGCCUUGGGGGUCUCAUCAGUACUGUGGGGGCCAACAGCACCGCUGGGGUGUGUGGAGGUCCAGGCCCUGGAGCGCUGCCCUCCAACACCUAUGCCAGCAUUGACUUCUUGUCCCAUCGCCUGAAGGAGGCCACCAUUGUGAAAGUGUUGCUUACCGUGAGGCCAGUGAGGCCCUGUUCCCUGCAGCAGUGCCGUGGAGCCCUCCAUGGGACCAUCUACAUGGGCUGCACAUGAAACUCUGCUCUUAGCUUCAUAUGGGGCUACAUGGAGCCUUACAUGGGACUCUAUGUGGAGCCCUACAUGCAGCUGUAUAUGGAGCUCUACACGGAGUUGUAUAUGGAGCCCUACAUAGAACUGUGUAUGGAGCCCUCCAUGGAGCUGUGAAUGGAGCCCUCCAUGGAGCUGUGAAUGGACCCCUCCAUGGAGCUGUGUAUGGAGCCCUCCAUGGAGCUGUAUAUGGAGCCCUCCAUGGAGCUGUAUAUGGAGCCCUCCAUGGAGCUGUGUAUGGAGCCCUCCAUGGAGCUGUGUAUGGAGCCCUCCAUGGAGCUGUGUAUGGAGCCCUCCAUGGAGGUGUUGAUGGAGCCCUACAUGGAGUUGUAUCAUGGAGCUAUAUAUGGAGCCCUCCAUAGAGCUCUACAUUCUAGACCUGAUGUUUCACUGUAUGUUCCACUAAUGUGACUGGAAUCAUGGAGCCCAGCAGACAGGUGGCGUGGAAUAGUGAAGACCUGCCUGGCUUCAUUACCACAACAUCACACAUCAGAGAAUCACAUGGAAAAGAAGAGGCUCAGCAUUUUAUAAACAUUUGAAGCUGCUUACAAUUGUUCUUUUGGACCUGAGCAAUUACUUUGUUUUCAACAUCUGCGGCUGUACUAGAGAUGAAACCAACAAGGCAAGAACGGCCGCCUCCCUCACUGGUUCCCAUAGGGGGCAUUCAUCCUGUGCUGUUUGUGUUGUGUUUUGUUUCGUUGUUUUAACACAAUUUGCCGAAGAAGUAAUUCUCAAGAGAAUGGGAUGUUUUCAUUGGCCUUUUAAAUUGUGGCCAGUGUCUUAAUUUCUUCUGACGUUCAUUUUGGCAAAGCCAAUUUGUCCCUCGGCAUGCUAGGAGAUUGUACCAAUACCCAUUAAAGUGGUAAAAUCUGGUAUUUACUGGCAUACACUCAAAACUACCACAGUCCUACCUCAGUUCCAGGUGAAGCCGGAUUUGCGGGGUUGGGGGCCGGCAGGACCUCCGUGUAUCUCUGCUGAAUGUGGCGCCAGUGUGGUCAUCAGCCUUAUUCAACUGGUCCCAGUACACAGCUGCUUGUUGGACUCCAAUCCAGGUUCCUGCGUGUUUACUCACAGACAGAGCCCAGUGUGGGGCUGACAUUUCUCUAUGGGAAUGAAAUUUGUGAUUGGACGUUGAAGAUGAAUUAAUAAAUAAUAAUUAUAUGUAACUAAAGCAGCCUACUUUUGGAAAUCAUCAACUGUAUUGGGUAUUGGGGGUGGGAGGGGAGGUGUUGGGGCAGGGGCUGAAUAUCUCUUUUUAACAGAGUUGUUUAAUCUCUAUGUAGAUGUUUAUGUAGGUACUUCAAAUUGCAAAAGCCUUUGAUCCUAUUUACAAGCUCAAAUGUCUCUGCUGUCCUUAAUCUUGAGCUUGCAUUUCUUUAACCAAAAACUCCCCAGGCAUGCCAGCAAUUCAAGGGUGGUCACCGGUUUAGCAGAGUUUUUAAAAAUGUAUUUAUUAUCUUAACUAUAAUGCUAUGGUGUGGGCCAACGAGGCUUUCCUGAACAACAGUACAACAAAAAACGGGAUGGGGGGUGGAGGAAAGAAACUGAUAAAAGAGGCAUUUCGGGCCCUGCAUUGUUAAUGGAAAAAGAAAAAAGAAGGAAAACAAUCUCACAGUACAUGCCACGUGUUGGAAAACUCCUGACAAGACUACGCUUACGUUUUCAGUGUUCUGAAAAUACCAGUGUUGUGUCGAUUCUCACAGGUGUCCCCUAAAACUGCUGCCCUUGACCAGCAGAACGUCAUGUCAUCUUGCUGCUCCCUUGACACAUGAUGGAGGGCCCCAGACCUUUUUCUCCCAUGGGUGCAUCCCCAGUGCCUAUCUUCUCUGAUAGUCCUGAAGAGGUUACACUAGUUCAUUGGAGAUGUGAACUUGUUUUUUUCUUUCUUUUUUUUUUUUUGGAGAAAAAAUUAUAUAUAAAUAUAUAGAUAUAUAUCGCUAUAGAAUAAUGCAUUACUAAAAAUGAGGCUUUUUUAGAGGAAGACCAAAAAAUUCAAUGUCUUAAGAAUAUAUUUAAUGGCAAUGCAAACGUCUUCCUGCUUCCAUGCUGAACUCUUAGAACAGAGGAUUGUAUUGCAAGACAAAGUUGAAUGUAAAGUGAUCCCCCUGGACGUUUUUUAAGAGUUUUACUUUUCUAAAAUUACACAUCACAGCAGUGUAUAGAGCGUACGACGUUAGUUUGAAGGUCAAUUUCAGUGUAUAAUAGACAUACUUUAUAAAAAUGUAUAAAAUGUCCUAAAGUGUUGAUUUAGUCUUGGGACUAGGACUCGGGUGGUAUUUGCUAUGUGACUCCCCCAGGUACGUAGGACUGAAUAUGGGCCCUGCUGAAUACAGUGUAUGACGGUAUUUAAGUAGCUCUCUAUACUUAGAGUAGUCAUGCCUCUAUAUCAAUGGUUCAUGUUCAUACUGCAACUUCAAACUAGCAAAUGAAAAGUCGGUAAUAUACUAAAUGUUCCUCUAUCCUGUACAUUUCAAAAAAGGCAUAUGCAAUAUUUACAGUUUUAAUUUAGUUUACAGAAUGGAACCAAAAUGUAUAAAUGUUAUGUUUGCUAAAACUUCACAAUGUAUAUUGGGGUCUUUGUACAUUUUGCCUGACUUACCUUAAAUUUAAAAUAUUUUUUGCUAUAUAAACUUUAACAGUUAUUAAACAGUGUUUUCUUUUUUGGGUACGUAUUGUUUCUGGAUAUCAAGAUGUUAAAUAUAUUUCUUGCUAUUGUGAUAUGACAAAAGACUUAACUAAUCUUGCUCUGUCUUCCACUGUACACGCUGUAUAUAAGGGUCAAUGUGAUGCUGCUGGAGACAAGAAUAAAUGGAACUAGAAUAGUGCAUUGUAUUUAGUCUGUAUUGAUCAUGGAUGCUCUCCUUAAUAGCCAUAUGCAAUAAAAUAAAAUACAUUAUUUAUGAAAUGAA